rnacentral:rRNA from 1 species
UGGGGAAUAUUGCACAAUGGGCGAAAGCCUGAUGCAGCAACGCCGCGUGAGUGAUGAAGGUCUUCGGAUUGUAAAGCUCUGUCUUUUGGGACGAUAAUGACGGUACCAAAGGAGGAAGCCACGGCUAACUACGUGCCAGCAGCCGCGGUAAUACGUAGGUGGCGAGCGUUGUCCGGAUUUACUGGGCGUAAAGGGUGCGUAGGCGGAUGUUUAAGUGAGAUGUGAAAUACCCGGGCUUAACUUGGGUGCUGCAUUUCAAACUGGAUAUCUAGAGUGCAGGAGAGGAGAAUGGAAUUCCUAGUGUAGCGGUGAAAUGCGUAGAGAUUAGGAAGAACACCAGUGGCGAAGGCGAUUCUCUGGACUGUAACUGGCGCUGAGGCACGAAAGCGUGGGUAGCAAACAGGAUUAGAUACCCUGGUAGUCCACGCCGUAAACGAUGAGUACUAGGUGUAGGAGGUAUCGACCCCUUCUGUGCCGCAGUAAACACAUUAAGUACUCCGCCUGGGAAGUACGAUCGCAAGAUUAAAAC